UUAUCUCAAGUAUAGUGUUGGAACGUUUGCCUAGGUUUGCCGCUAGGGGCGCUGUUCCAACUGCAUGCUUUGAGUUA
rnacentral:pre_miRNA from 1 species